CAAAGCCAAAGGCGUAUAGUGUGCCGAACGCCGAACGUACGGACGUUCCAUCGCGUUUGCCGGUCGUAUUCGUUCGGCAUUUCGGUCUAGUUCGCGAGAUAUCCGCAAAAGAAUCAGCCUCAUCGCUCGCCGUCGCCGAACGGCGAUGUCAUUCAUUUCGGUCUGCCGGUCGUCGCUCCGCCGAAGGCGAUUUGCCGGAGCUCCUCUCGUUGUACGUCAAUCGACACGUAAUUAAGUGCCGCAUCUCUCGGGAGUCUCGCGUUGUCCCGCGAAAUAGAAUAUUUGAUAUAAGUGAGUGCGAAAAUGGCCCGCGGUUCAUCCCCCUUAAGGUUGCGACUCCAUCGCUCGUUGUAGAUUCUCUUUCCGUUAGUGAUGUGCGCCGAGAGUUACCACGGUAACCGUGACAAGUCGGUAAAGCGGCCGAUGAUCGCGAUGAUCAGGCAUUGUAGCGGAUCUGUCAGAAUCUCACGUGAUAUUGAGUGCGUAGCGUGCCAUGAUGUUCGCCGACAUCGCCGGCGGAUCCGGAAGCCGCCAACCAUCAUGGAAAUUCUAACGCUGGCUUCUUCUCACCGAGAAAUUAUAGACCGACACAUAUGGGGAAUAACGGCAAUUUGGCGACUUAGCAUCUUAUGGAUUACUGGCAUGCUAAGCCGUCAAGAUCGUCCGAAUACCGCACGAAGAUUAUUGAUAAUUGAAGAACUGCGCCAAUGAAGAAAUCCAACGUUGUUCGGUGUAGCCUCCUGUUACGUAUACUGAAGGUAUACCGGACAGGAAUACACUCAGGAUACAUUCAGUAUACGUACAGGGGGUUUCACAUUCCUCAUCGGAUAACGCCUCGUCGGUGGCUGCCCCCUGGCAAGGAUGAAGAGUCUGAUAAGAUCGGCGGCAGUCUGGCAUCGCGUAGACUAACAUUAUAUCUUCUGGAAUCGCUGGCAUGAAGCGACGGACGACUUCGAUCAUUAAUAUCUUCCAUUUCUAAUCCAGCAUCCGUUACCUCGAUUCGCGGUCGCUCAUCCGAUUAAUUGAAACAGCACGGAGAAAGAAGAAGGAAAAAAAAAAGUUAAUGCCGCGGAUCGCAUGUGAAAAAACUAUUAAUAAAGUGUAUAGUCUCUUAAGAUCCAUAUCGUAAUAUGUUUUCCACCGUAUUCACUUGAUGCUUUACCGAGAAAGUAACAUAGGGGCGAUGAUAUCUCAUAUAAACAUUAUCUGUGGUAUAAUUAUAUUGUACGUUAUGAUACGGUAGAGUCAUUGUUAUCGUGAAUCCUUACGUUUCUAAAUCGUAUUUGGGAUUGAAUACAAUACUUACAUUCCGUGUAACAUGUUGAAAUAAAUUAAUAUAAAAUAUUAUAAUAUUUUUCUAUAAUUAGCAUAUCAUUAUUUUGAUACUUUUAUAACACGAAAAAACUCGGAAAUUAUUGUUAAUUGUUAGUUGUAUAAUCAAACAGAUUAAAAUAAUUAAAGUGGAAAUAGACAGCUUUAAACGCCCGACAGAACAAAAAUAAAUGUGGUCGCUGAUAUCUAGCGAUCCAUCUAAUUUCAGAGUUACGUAAUUUCUGUAGCUAUAUGUGUUGCCCGAUAUGCGGAUCACAAUCAACAAGUAAAUAAAUUCAUUUUACAACGUCCGCUUAACGUUCUUCUCAGAUUGAAGAUCACAAAAAAAAAUACUUGGCAACGUGAGGUAAUGAAUCGAGAGAAACGCGGCGCGUCUUUUUUUCUACCAACGGCGGAAUACGCCCACCUAAUUUUGCCGGAUCCUGAAUUGUCGAAUCUCUCCCUCUUUUCCUCUGUCUCUCUCUUUCUCUCUCUCCCCUCAUCUCUCUCCUUUUUUUCUCUCUCUUGCUCUUCUCUCUGACUGUCCCGUAUUCUCUUUACCGUUCAUCCGUAAAGGACUCCGAAACGAUUUUGGCGAAAUUGCCGCUGCUGACCAAAAAGUAUUUGCCUCCACGAUGCCCACAGUGCCCCCAACCCGUCUGU